UUGACAUUCUGAACGUGAAGGCAUACUUUCAGGAGUGAGGGUAGAGCGGGGUUUCCCCCGCCCUGGUAGUCUUAGUAUGCUGGGUAGCUUAUCACUAAGAGCACUACGAUGAUGAGUAUCUUCAUCAUGACCCUUUCCU
rnacentral:sRNA from 1 species